rnacentral:rRNA from 1 species
UACGAAGGGGGCUAGCGUUGUUCGGAAUUACUGGGCGUAAAGCGCACGUAGGCGGAUCUUUAAGUCAGGGGUGAAAUCCCGAGGCUCAACCUCGGAACUGCCUUUGAUACUGGGAUAUCGAGUCCGGGAGAGGUGAGUGGAACUGCGAGUGUAGAGGUGAAAUUCGUAGAUAUUCGCAAGAACACCAGUGGCGAAGGCGGCUCACUGGCCCGGUACUGACGCUGAGGUGCGAAAGCGUGGGGAGCAACAGG